AAUGCCAAGGGGCGUUUCACUCGAGAUGCAUUUCAUAUAUCAAACAAAUUAAAUGCAUUUUAAUACAUUAAAUGUACAUUUUAAUGCAUUUUGUUAGCGUGUACCUCCCAUCGCUCUCACCAAUACAAAUGCAUGUAUGAGUAAAUAUGGAAAUGUCAAAUUUUGCCGCGCGGAGUGCUAAAAAAAUGAAAAAAAAAAUCCGAUUGGGACAACAUUAGUGAAUUUUGCUAGAUAGUUGAGCAAAACACGGUGAAAUAAGACCGUUUUCAUUCUAGAUGAUUCGAGCCACACGCACGGAUCACUGGACGGCUCUCUGUACGCGACCAUCCUCAACACCCGAGAUCUCCUACCAGAGUUGGAGACGGUGGACAAACGGCCCUGAUCUCACUGCCGUCCGGAACGGAACGGAAAUCCGAUCGCGAACGGACACCAUCGUCCGUUGCCACCAGUAAUGCCUCCACCGCUGAGUUCCUUGGCCCUAAACUCGGUGAGUUAAGCGGGAAACGCAAUGGGGCCGGCAACGGAAUGCGGAAGCGCUGCGUUGUACAUAUAUGCUAACCGUGGCUAUGCUAACCACCUACAAUCUAAUUUUCAACAUAUAUGGAUCAUCCCGAAACGCAUGCUGCUUUUAUAAAUAUUAUUACAAUUAUUGUGAAAUUAUUAUUAUCAAUAAACAACUAUGUAGGGCUUGGGAGGGAAGGGGUGAUUGCGUUGCUGGGCUGUUUUAA